rnacentral:rRNA from 1 species
UACGUAGGGGGCAAGCGUUGUCCGGAUUUAUUGGGCGUAAAGAGCUCGUAGGUGGUUUGGUAAGUCGGAUGUGAAAUCUCCAGGCUCAACCUGGAGGGGUCAUUCGAUACUGCCAUGACUAGAGGUCGGUAGGGGAGUGUGGAAUUCCUGGUGGAGCGGUGAAAUGCGUAGAGAUCAGCAGGAACACCCGUGGCGAAGGCGGCCCCCUGGGCCGUACCUGACGCUGAGGCGCGAAGGCUAGGGGAGCGAACAGG